CCUGGACAACUCUGCUCUCUCACCACUUCACCACCCUCCAUCCCACUGUGAACCACUGGGCUGACGAGGACUGUCCUGAGGGGAGACGGGGACGCACAGCCACAGCAUAAAAACAGGCCAGUGUGUGGAGUUCAAUGGGACCCACAGGACCUGUGAGAUCCGGGGCUGGCACCCCAUGGAGAGUGACACUGUGCCUGUGUAAGUGUCCCCAACACCCAGGGCAGGUCCCAGGACCAGCAGAGCCUGCCCCUGACCUCCCCCACCUGCAGGAAGCCCCUGCUGCUCCAGGCUGAGAACUUCAUGCUGUUCAUCAAAAACACUGUCACCUUCAGCAAGUUCAACUUCUCCAGCUGCAGGAGAGGAGCUACGACUUCAGCUGCGGCCCCACAGCCAGGUGCCCCUCCAACUAUCCUCCUGUGGCGGCCGGGACAGACCCCAGCCAGGCCCAUCCCUUUGGACCCUCUGCUGUGUGUGGAGGGGUCCCCAGGGCAGGAGGGGGGGCUCUCAGCUCCAGGUCCCCCAGCACAGGCUCCAUCCAGCCUCCCUCCUGAGCCCUUUGGCCUCCACCCCAUGUGUCCUCUCACCCCCGCUGCAGCUCGGACCCCUCACCCCAGUCCCUCCUCCACUCCACCCUGCCUCCAGAAUCUCCCUCCAUGGCACAGGGGGGGCCUUCUUUACUUUUCCCUUCAGGUUUUAUCUAAAAAAUUA